CAUGUAAGAGCGAGUGACGAUUUCUUACCACCAUGUAAAAGCGAGUGACGAUUUAUUUUUAGCUACAGUGGCAACUUCUGUAACUUUAUCACUAAAUUUGCUCGGAUGUUAAACUUUAUGACCUUUUCAGCCAGAAACGUCAUAGAUCUAUGACGAGAACAAAUAUGUCAUAAAAUUUUUGUCAUAGUUCAACAUAUUUCUUGUAGUGAUAAGUCCUAAUAUACUAUACUAACGACAAGAAAAUAGCAGUCAAAAUUGUUACGUGGCUUAAGCAAGCAUCCAAGUGAUCGGACUGUAUUUAGUUAUGCAAAGAAGAAAAAAAACAUAUGCGUUGAACCAUAUAUAUAUAUACAUGUCCAUUAACGAGUAUGGCUGCAAAUCCCCGAUAUUUCAAUGGAACGUAUUAUGCCGUUGAAAUCCUUUCCCCACCCCAACGAAUUCGUUUCC
rnacentral:lncRNA from 1 species